rnacentral:rRNA from 1 species
GAUGAACGCUGGCGGCGUGCCUAAUACAUGCAAGUCGAGCGAACAGACGAGGAGCUUGCUCCUCUGACGUUAGCGGCGGACGCGUGAGUAACACGUGGAUAACCUACCUAUAAGACUGGGAUAACUUCGGGAAACCGGAGCUCAUACCGGAUAAUAUAUUGAACCGCAUGGUUCAAUAGUGAAAGAAGGUUUUGCUGUCACUUAUAGAUGGAUCCGCGCCGGAUUAGCUAGUUGGUAAGGUAAAGGCUUAACAAGGCAACGAUUAGUAGCCGAACCGAGAGGAGGAAUCGCCCAAUCGGGAACGAAAACACGCCCCAAACCCUAACGGGGGGAACCGGUGGGGAACUUUCGGCAAGGGGGGAAGGCCGAAGGAGCCAACCCGGGGGGGGGAAGGAGGCCUUCGGGUUCUAAAGACUUGUUUAUUGGGGAGAAACAAAUUUUUAAGAAACGAGGCACGGCUUGACGGUACCGAAUCAGAAAGCCACGGCUAACUACGUG